AAUUCCAAUAGCGUAUAUUAAAAUUGUUGCGGUUAAAAAGCUCGUAGUUGGAUUUCUGCCGAAGACGACCGGUCCGCCCUGUGGGUGAGCAUCUGGAUCGGCCUGGGCAUCUUCUUGGGGAACGUAGCUGCACUUGAUUGUGUGGUGCGGUAUCCAAGACUUUUACCUUGAGGAAAUUAAAAUGUUUCAAGCAGGCGCACGCCUUGAAUACAUUAGCAUGGAAUAAUAAGAUAAGACCUCGGUUCUAUUUUGUUGGUUUCUAGAGUUGAGGUAAUGAUUAAUAAAGAUAGUUGGGGGCAUUCGUAUUUAACUGUCAAAAGUGAAAUUCUUGGAUUUGUUAAAGACGGACUAUUGCGAAAGCAUUUGCCAAGGAUGUUUUCA
rnacentral:rRNA from 1 species